AUGAUUAUAUAUCUCUAGUUACAUUAUGGUUCUUAUAUAAAAUGUGUAUUGACUUGAAUUCUUUCUUUUGAAUUUUUGCGCUUUGUUUCGCAGAAUUUCUAAUUUAUCGGUAGUAGUAUUGUUUUUAGGUUGUUAUCUUAUAUAGGUGGUGUUUUUGUCUUUCGCGGUAUGAUUUAAGUUAGUCAUCUGGCGUGUAAGUUUGAAUUUUAUUCGCGUUCUUUUAUAAAUUUUGCUGAGCAAGGGUUUUAAUUUUUAUUCGUGGCGACUUAUCAAGUGUCAAUUGGGAGUGCCAGUAUUCGUCAAACAGUGUACGUGUCUAGUACUGCGAGGGAAAAAUUUAAAAAAUGUACCCCGUUGAAAGGUGUUAUGAAAAUUAUGGAACUUGGUUCCAGUACGUUACUGCUGUGGUUGGAGAGCGGGAUUUGCGGCGGGGAGUAAAGAUUUUACGUCGCUUGAUUGGUCCGCUUACCCCACACGAGGCUCUGGAUCUAGUCGAGGAGUGGAUGGCUCUGUUUGGGCCUGCUGGGCCUGAGGUUUCGGGCGCAGCAACCUUCUUCUUUCUCCAUAUGCUGGAGAAUCCAGAUGGCGAGGAGGAGUUCAUCGCUCCCAACCUUUCCGAUUUAGAACGGUUGCGGGGAGCACUUAUUGAAUUUGUAUUCAAUAAGAAUUUUGUUUGUUAUUUUUGAAGGAGUUUCACGUUUCGCUGACCAUAUCCGUCGUGUGGGGAUUCUCAUUCUUUGGGGCCAACCGGCGAGGCAUUCUGGAGGAGGGAAUUUUGUUUAGUGUAAAAAAAAAAUUUUUUAUGAAAAGGAGUAUUUAAAUAA